AUUCAUUCCUGGACAUAUACUAAAAUUGGAACAAUACAGAGAAGAAUAGCAUGACCCCUGCGCAAGGGUGAGAUGCAAAUUCGUGAAGCGUUUCAAAAUUUU
rfam:Oesophagostomum dentatum strain OD-Hann O_dentatum-1.0_Cont7.20, whole genome shotgun sequence.